UGCCAGCAGCCACGGUAAUACGAAGGGACCUAGCGUAGUUCGGAAUUACUGGGCUUAAAGAGUUCGUAGGUGGUUAAAAAAGUUGGUGGUGAAAUCCCAAAGCUUAACUCUGGAACUGCCAUUAAAACUUUUCAGCUAGAGUAUGAUAGAGGAAAGCAGAAUUUCUAGUGUAGAGGUGAAAUUCGUAGAUACUAGAAAGAACACCGGUGGCGAAAGCGCUCUACUGGACCAUUACUGACACUCAGAGGCGAAAGCUAGGGUAGCAAAAGGGAUUAGAUA
rnacentral:rRNA from 1 species